GCCACUGGUGCUACCGGACCACCAGCAUUUGCCUCUCCUCUUGAAGAAAGCUCCUCUCCUCCAUCGUGGGCGGUCGUCGGGCGCCAGCGGCCGGUGCUGUCAGUUUAAUCUGGAGGACACACGUGGCGGGGUGUUCUGGUGGCCGGAGUUUGUGCCUGGGCGAUCCAGAGGUGCCCAGCCACAUCCUCGGCUCCGUGGUACUCAGGCGCGCCUGCCGAGGAAGGAUCUUCCUCCAUCCUUUCCCCCGGGGGACACCUUUAGGGGCGUUUUGCGCAAGGCGACUUUUACUGAGAACCCAGGGAUCUAGAUGGAGAUGAAUUUGGGGAUUGAGGACGGCGCUCAGUCACCAGACUCCACUUGCAGUGUGUGCCCAGCAUGUCAAGGCCGGCAACACGCCCUCCGGGGCACGGGUCCUCUCUGUGGCUGAUCCCUACUUGCCCUGCCGGCAGAAAUACCAGGGAAGACAGGUUCAGCUCCGUCCCCCUGGGGUCAUACGCCACCGUCACCGUGUGUGACUGAUUGCUUUCAACAAGCUUCUGUCGGACACACCCUGAUGACUGCCUCCCUGAGGAAUAAACCUACAGAGGCCCAGCCACUCCUACCAAUGCAUUUCCGCUGUGCCAGGACCUCAAGCUGGAAGGUGCCUGGCAUAAAACCUGGAAGUUGAGUUUACCUCGCCCCACCGUAGAAGAAAGGAUGGAAACACACCCCAUUGGGCAGGAGACAAACUGGGACCCAUAUGUGCUAGGUCAUAUACUUCUUUGUCUUAAAUGGAUUGAUACGAUGUAUAUACCACCUUGGGUCUUGAUAAAAAUUCACACAAUACAAUAAAAUGCCAUUAAAAAAAAUUUUUUUAACGUUUAUUCAUUUUGGAGAGACAGAGUGGGAGUGGGGGAGGGGCAGAGAGAGAGGGAGACCGAAUCCGGAGCAGUCAGCACAGAGCUGUCAGCACAGAGUCUGACAUGGGGAUUUGAACUCACGAACCGUGAGAUCACGACCUGAGCCGAAGCCGGAUGUUUAACCAACUGAGCCACCCAGGCGCUCCCAAAUGCCAUUUUUUAAAAAAAAAGUGGGUUUAGAAAUCGGCACAGAGCUGGGGCACCUCGGUGGCUCAGUCCGUUAAGUGUGCGACUCUUGGUUUUGGCUCAGGUCAUGAUCUCAUGGUUUGUGAAAUUGAGCCCUGCCUGACAGCUCGGAGCCUACUUGGGAUUCAUUGUCUCUCUCUCUCUUUCUCAAAAUGAAUAAGCA
rnacentral:lncRNA from 1 species